GGCCGGGAGCGAGCCGCCGUGACGUCACGGGCCACCCGCCAGCCCCGCGCUCUACCAGGCAGAGCGCGUGUGGCCGCCGAGCACAUGGACCCACUGGUCAAGCGGGCUCGGCAAGGCCAGGAUGAAGAGAAGCUACGAACUUAGCAUUCCCAGAGCCCCCCGAGUGGAUAUCCGCGUGGAAAGGAUGUUGGCAGCCCCGGUGACCUCGGAGUCACGGCUGGAUCCACCCUCUUGUCUGAUUUUCUUAACUCUACUACGGUAAGAAGAUGCCCUCCAUCAGCAGGCCGUGUCUGCUGGGACCUCUCUGGAGACUUCCUGAACCCUGUGGAUUUACAGUAAGAUGCAGUUUCCUGGGGAGUAAUUCUGGUGGAUACAAAUUCCGGAGUAUUACACCUGGCUUGCCUGGAGAUGUUACAAGUAGCUGGAUGGAUUCUUCAGCCUGGAUGCCCACUGAAAACAAGGACCGAAACUAAGAGGAUUGUAUCUCUACCCUUGACUCAAUGAGAAUGUUUGUUGUCAUCUCUCGGGCUACCUGGAGCUCCCUCUAAAAUUAUACCCUUUAAGCGUUCCAGAAGGAUUUUGAGAUCCUUUCCUAAAUCAAAGGUGGAAUAUUUGGGGAUUUGGAAAAUUGAGAUGUGAAGCGUUGACUUAAGAGAUGCCAAGUAACUCAGCAGAUGUCACACAGACGAUAAAUAGCAAAGAUGGAAGUCUUCAUGCCGGAGGCAAUCCUAUAAGACAGCUGAGUUCUGCAGAGCUGGUAGGAGACAGACUUGCUCAGGUGAUAGAUCCAGCCAUGAUACUGACCCUAAGAGAAUGAGACGCUCUGCAGAAGACAGAAGAUUCCUGAAACUGGGAAAGGUGCCUAGAAAUCCUGAUAAGAGUGAAGAAGGGUACCUGGAGGCACAGCAGCCAUGUUGAACCUAUGAGGUGAUGAAAAACCAUGCAACUAGAAACCAGAAUGGAAGAAAAGAAGAAGCUGGAUCCUUGACUGAAUUGUCGAUGGGGGAUAGUCCAUCAUCCCAGGGCUAAGACCACCUCCAGAUUUCUUGUUUGGUGAAACAAGUCCUGAUUGUUUACAUUCCCUCGUGUUGAGCUGUCUCUUGCUUGUAGCUGAAAGCAUUUCUAAUAGAUAUUCAGAUUAUCAGCCUUAGCUCCAAGCUAGAAUACUCUAUGGGACCUUAGCUUCUCCAUGAAUUCCUUUGCUCAUCUGUGUAAUGCUCAAUAAAUGUAAAUUGAACCCUGAAUGAGGGACAAUGACACUAUUGAAGUCAUGAUUGUCAAUCUUAUUAACGGACUAACUACUUAACAAAAAGGUUGGAACACUGCCUGACGCACAGUAAGCGGCUGGGGAAAGGGUUUGCCAAAUGGAGUGACAAGAAAACAGUCAUGUUUAUAGGCUUUCUUUUACAUCUUGAUCCAUCUUCAAGCCUCUGUGGUCUUUAAGCAGAACCUUGACCCCUUCAGUACUGGGGCUCCUGGAGCAUGACACGCCCCCUAAACUCUUGUCUCAAAACACCCACUCUAGCAGUUUCUUUUUGACAAAAAAAAAGCCUUCUUAGUGAAUGCUGGCUUGUGAAAAAGAAGGGGCUGUGAUCAUCAAAUCGUGUUAGUAGAUGACCAAAAUACCCAAAGCAAUUCAUGCAAAUAGAUUCAAGUCUCUCUGGGCAAGCCUUCCUGAAGGCUCUAGAAUUUCUGAAGCUCAUUUUUGAAAGGGUCUUUCCAUAUGGUGGCCUUUUUCUUUUUUGCACCUCCUCCCUUCUUUCUCAUCAGAGCUAAAGGGAUGCUCAGACUCUCUGUCCUUUCUGUGUAGUGAGGGACCAGGCUGCUGGGCGAGUGUGAAGGAGCGAGUGUGAUUUGGGAUAUUCUUUUCUGGUAUGGCAAUGGCCAGCCUUUAGAGAGGUCAUUUGAAGUUGGCCAACAAGUAGACAUUAUUUCAAAAUAGUUCUUGAUCAUUAAAGAACCAACCAGUAUGUCUUAAAAACAAACAAACCAAUCUUUUGGAAAGUUUCUGCUGAAUGUGUGCCCUUCCGACUCACUUCUUAUCCUUUCUGUCAGAAACACCCCAGAAAAGGGGGUCUUGCCUUUGAACCACUCUGCUACUUUAAUCUUCCUGCUUCUGUCUGACCUACCUUCCUUCUUUCAGUAGCCAGGAUCCUUUCAGAGUGAGCUCCAAAAGGUGGGGAUUCUCCAGCCACGAGUGCCCUCUGAAAUUCUAUCUUACUUAGAAUAAAAUAUCUAGAUUUAUACAGUGUCCCCUUGUAUGGGUGGUGGCUUUUUUUUUUUUUCUAUCAUUUUCCUGCUUGUUCACACCACUCUCUCCCUGGCCUUCUUAUGUCACAGAUUUCCUGAGUACACUCUGGCCUCAGUCUUUCCAUGAAGUAACUCUCCUUUCUAGAACAUUCUUGCCUGCAUAACUAUCUGCUUCUGUCCUCACUGUAUUCUGAUCUGUAUUUCUAUGUCAAUUUCCAGACAGGCAUUCUCUGCCCAUCCUCUAAAGUGUGCCCCCUGUCUUCUUUGCUGUUACCUGUAUGCCCUAAGUCUAAGUCACUGACCUUAUUGUAGACUAAAUUUGUUAGCAUUUCUUUCCAGGAUGCAAGCCUAGUGAUGAAGGAGUCAUUGUUCCAUUGUCAGAAUAGCUACAGAAUCCAGCCUGUUCUGCCCUGGAUGCUUUAUUAAGUAAUGAAGCUCAAUAAAACAAUUUGAC
rnacentral:lncRNA from 1 species